GUCCAUGCCGUAAAACGGUGGGCGCUAGGUGUAGGGGACUUCCACGUCUUCUGUGCCGCAGCUAACGCAUUAAGCGCCCCGCCUGGGGAGUACGGCCGCAAGGCUAAAACUCAAAGGAAUUGACGGGGGCCCGCACAAGCGGCGGAGCAUGUGGAUUAAUUCGAUGCAACGCGAAGAACCUUACCUGGGCUUGACAUACACAAGAUCGCUGCAGAAAUGUAGCUUCCCUUGUGGCUGGUGUACAGGUGGUGCAUGGUUGUCGU
rnacentral:rRNA from 1 species